rnacentral:rRNA from 1 species
GACGAACGCUGGCGGCGUGCUUAACACAUGCAAGUCGAACGAGACGAUUGAAAGCUUGCUUUCGAAAGUCGAGUGGCAAACGGGUGAGUAACGCGUAGACAACCUGCCUUUGAGAUGGGGACAACAGUUCGAAAGGACUGCUAAUACCGAAUGUUGUAUAUUUUCCACAUGGAAGAUAUAUUAAAGAUGGCCUCUAUUUAUAAGCUAUCGCUCAAAGAUGGGUCUGCGUCUGAUUAGCUGGUUGGUGGGGUAACGGCCUACCAAGGCGACGAUCAGUAGCCGGUCUGAGAGGAUGAGCGGCCACAUUGGGACUGGGGCACGGCCCAGACUCCUACGGGAGGCAGCAGUGGGGAAUCUUCCACAAUGGACGAAAGUCUGAUGGAGCAACGCCGCGUGAGUGAAGAAGGGUUUCGGCUCGUAAAGCUCUGUUGUCGGGGACGAAUGUGCAGUAUUUGAAUAAAGUACUGUAAUGACGGUACCUGACGAGGAAGCCACGGCUAACUACGUGCCAGCAGCCGCAGUAA